rnacentral:rRNA from 1 species
UACGGAGGGGACUAGCGUUGUUCGGAAUUACUGGCGUAAAGCGCACGUAGGGCGGAUUGUUUAGUCAGGGGUGAAAUCCCGAGGCUCAACCUCGGAAACCUGGCCUUUGAAUACUGGCAAUCUCGAGUUCCGGAAGAGGUGAGUGGAAUUCCUAGUGUAGAGGUGAAAUUCGUAGAUAUUAGGAAGAACACCAGUGGCGAAGGGCGGACUCACUGGUCCGGUACUGACGCUGAGGUGCGAAAGCGUGGGAGC